rnacentral:snRNA from 1 species
GUACGUUCCUGAGAAGAGGCAUCUCCACACUAGCCUGGCACCAUUGAUCACCAGGGUUGAUUCCACUGAUUUGGCUGGGUAGGCAGGUGUCUCCUUCAUCCCUCACCACUCCAUGUGUGGCCCUCCUGAAGCUGCAAGCUUGGUAGAAGAGGAUGACUUUCCCUGAAUAGACUUGACCGCUCUUUGGUUGAGGGUCUAGGAGUAGCUGCAUUCCCAUGCUAGAACUUCUAAACAAGUUCUUACAAAUAUUUCUCUGUCUCCCCACUUUUGUAUCAGUUUAAUACCGUUCCAUAUCAUUGAUUUCAACUUUCCUUUAGUUAAGGUGAUUUCAGU